UGAGGAAUCUUGCGCAAUGGGGGAAACCCUGACGCAGCAACGCCGCGUGAGUGAGGAAGGCCUUCGGGUCGUAAAGCUCUGUCAGUUGGGAAGAAAUGUCUGAGAGCCAAUACCUUUCAGGUUUGACGGUACCAACAGAGGAAGCACCGGCUAACUCCGUGCCAGCAGCCGCGGUAAUACGGGGGGUGCAAGCGUUGUUCGGAAUUAUUGGGCGUAAAGAGCGUGUAGGCGGCCGGAUGUGUCAGAUGUGAAAGCCCUGGGCUUAACCCAGGAAGUGCAUUUGAAACUAUCCGGCUUGAGUAGGGGAGAGGGAAGUGGAAUUCCUGGUGUAGAGGUGAAAUUCGUAGAUAUCAGGAGGAACACCGGUGGCGAAGGCGACUUCCUGGCCCUAUACUGACGCUGAGACGCGAGAGCGUGGGUAGCAAACAGG
rnacentral:rRNA from 1 species